GAUGAACGCUGGCGGCGUGCUUAACACAUGCAAGUCGAACGGUGAACGAGGGAGCUUGCUCCCUCCGGAUCAGUGGCGAACGGGUGAGUAACACGUGAGCAACCUGCCCUGGACUCUGGGAUAAGCGCUGGAAACGGCGUCUAAUACUGGAUAUGAGACGUGGCCGCAUGGUCGACGUUUGGAAAGAUUUUUUGGUUCAGGAUGGGCUCGCGGCCUAUCAGCUUGUUGGUGAGGUAAUGGCUCACCAAGGCGUCGACGGGUAGCCGGCCUGAGAGGGUGACCGGCCACACUGGGACUGAGACACGGCCCAGACUCCUACGGGAGGCAGCAGUGGGGAAUAUUGCACAAUGGGCGGAAGCCUGAUGCAGCAACGCCGCGUGAGGGAUGACGGCCUUCGGGUUGUAAACCUCUUUUAGCAAGGAAGAAGCGAAAGUGACGGUACUUGCAGAAAAAGCGCCGGCUAACUACGUGCCAGCCGCCGCGGUAACAC
rnacentral:rRNA from 1 species